GAUGAACGCUGGCGGCGUGCCUAAUACAUGCAAGUCGAGCGAACAGACGAGGAGCUUGCUCCUCUGACGUUAGCGGCGGACGGGUGAGUAACACGUGGAUAACCUACUUAUAAGACUGGGAUAACUUCGGGAAACCGGAGCUAAUACCGGAUAAUAUAUUGAACCGCAUGGAUCAAUAGUGAAAGACGGUUUUGCUGUCACUUAUAGAUGGAUCCGCGCCGCAUUAGCUAGUUGGUAAGGUAACGGCCUACCAAGGCGACGAUGCGUAGCCGACCUGAGAGGGUGAUCGGCCACACUGGAACUGAGACACGGUCCAGACUCCUACGGGAGGCAGCAGUAGGGAAUCUUCCGCAAUGGGCGAAAGCCUGACGGAGCAACGCCGCGUGAGUGAUGAAGGUCUUCGGAUCGUAAAACUCUGUUAUUAGGGAAGAACAAAUGUGUAAGUAACUAUGCACGUCUUGACGGUACCUAAUCAGAAAGCCCCGGCUAACUACGUG
rnacentral:rRNA from 1 species